rnacentral:rRNA from 1 species
CGCCCAAUAGCUAGCCCACCCUACAAUAACAACUCCCCCCGUAUAUAUACCCCAAAAUACACUAAAACCUAACAAACAAACCAUUUUUCCCCCCAAGUACAGGUGAUGGAAAAGGACCUAGGAGCAAUAGAGAAAGUACCGCAAGGGAAAGCUGAAAAAGAAAUGAAAUAACCCAGUAAAGCCUAAAAAAGCAGAGAUACCCCCUCGUACCUUUUGCAUCAUGAUUUAGCUAGAAACUAUUAAGCAAAAAGUACUAUAGUUUAAUUUCCCGAAACUAGGUGAGCUACUCCAAGACAGCCUAAAACCAGGGCAACCCCGUCUCUGUGGCAAAAGAGUGGGAAGAGCUUCGAGUAGAGGUGACAGACCUACCGAACCUAGUUAUAGCUGGUUGCCUGAGAACUGAAUAGAAGUUCAGCCCUUUGAAUUCUUUCUUCCCACCUCAGCCUGCCUACCCUACAGAACCAAAAGAAUUCAAAGGAGUUAGUCGAAGGGGGUACAGCCCCUUUGAAACAAGACACAACUUUUCCAGGAGGGUAAAGACCAUAAUAAUUCUAAGGUACCAUGUUUUAGUGGGCCUAAAAGCAGCCACCCAAACAGAAAGCGUUAAAGCUCAAACACUAAAUACCACCACCCGAUCCUGAUAAUAAAAUCUUAUCCCCCUAACCCUACCAGGCCUUUCCAUACUUUAUGGAAGUGAUUAUGCUAAUAUGAGUAAUAAGAGAACACUCGAUUCUCUCCCCACACACGUGUAAAUCGGAACGGACUCUCCACCGAACUUCAACGGCCCCAAACAAAGAGGGCAAUGGAUAAAAAGCUAGACAACUAGAAAACCACCUAAUAUUCUACCGUUAACCCCACACUGGUGUGUUUCCCAGGAAAGACUAAAAGAAAAAGAAGGAACUCGGCAAACCCAAGCCUCGCCUGUUUACCAAAAACAUCGCCUCUUGUAUAAAUAAAAAUAAGAGGUCCCGCCUGCCCUGUGACCAUGUGUUUAACGGCCGCGGUAUUUUGACCGUGCAAAGGUAGCGCAAUCACUUGUCUUUUAAAUGAAGACCUGUAUGAAUGGCAUAACGAGGGCUUAACUGUCUCCUUUCUCCAGUCAAUGAAAUUGAUCUCCCCGUGCAGAAGCGGGGAUACCCCCAUAAGACGAGAAGACCCUAUGGAGCUUUAGACACAAAAUAGACCACGUUAAUCACCCUCCUAUAAAAGAUAAAACUAAUUGGACCCUAUUUACAUGUCUUUGGUUGGGGCGACCGCGGGGAAACAAAAAACCCCCAUGUGGAUCAAGAGCACAAGACUCCUAAAACUAAGAGCCACAGCUCUAAGCAACAGAACUUCUGACCAUUAAGAUCCGGCUAUGCGCCGAUCAACGGACCGAGUUACCCUAGGGAUAACAGCGCAAUCCCCUUCUAGAGCCCAUAUCGACAAGGGGGUUUACGACCUCGAUGUUGGAUCAGGACAUCCUAAUGGUGCAGCCGCUAUUAAGGGUUCGUUUGUUCAACGAUUAAAGUCCUACGUGAUCUGAGUUCAGACCGGAGUAAUCCAGGUCAGUUUCUAUCUAUGAUAUGAUCUUUUCUAGUACGAAAGGACCGAAAAGAAAAGGCCAAUGUUUUAAAUACGCCUUACCCUUACCUAAUGAAAUCAACUAAAAUGGACAAAAGGGCAUGCCCCCACGCUCAAGAAAAUAGCAU